AUAUAUUAAAUGGGUAUCCGAAACCAAACCGAAACCGAACCGAAAUCGGACAAAAAUCUGAAAUGGACCAAUUGGUCAAAAAAGAAUCUCACACAUCCUAAAAAAAAUCUACAUGGACCAAGGAGAGCAAAAUGACCAUUUUGCCUUUAAUGAUGGCUCAAUAUGGACCACUAGAUCAGAUUAUCUCCCUUAUAACGUGAACCGUUAGAUCUUCAAAAGAAAAUGAAAGAGAUAAUUACAACAAUGCCAUUAAUGAAACUCAUCUUAGCCGUCAGAUCUUUUCUCUAUGUUAUAAUCUGAACCGUUCAGUCUCCCCAUUAAAUAUUUCUUUCUCUCUCGCCUGGGUCCCACCAUAAAUUUAAUCAAUCUUCUUCUUCUUCUUCAUUUCAUCCUCAACUACACUCAACCACCACGAAAAUUCAUUCCAUUCACCAACCAAAGCUCUCUUCUUCAACUCUCCAUCCACAAACCUUUACAUCUGUUUCUUAUGUCUUUCUACAACUUAUGACACCGUGAAAUAGCCCAUGUGCGUCGUCUUUGGUUAUGAAAUCGCUUGGCUUUCAUCCUCUUGAUGGAAAUACAACAAACAUUAGUAAGUUAUCUCUUCAUAUCAAAUUAUGCAAGUUUUACCACAUCCUUCUUGCAUAUGUGUUUACGAUUGGUCAAUUUCUUAUCUUAUUUUCAUGAAUGCUUAUGCAUCCUUUUCGAACUCAUGAUGAUUUUUACAUCAUUUUUUGCAUACUCUUCUAAAUGUCUUUCUACCGCAAAUUUCUGGCUCCAAGACUACUUUCUUCGGCUUCGUGACCAAAAAUAUGAUGAUGAUUUUUUUUCCGGAAAUGGUACAACUAGUAUAACUAAUACAAUUUGUAAACAAAUCAUUAUCAAAUCAAAUAUUAUUGAAAAUAAACUAUUUAUGUAUUUUGACACAUUCAAUCGGAUAAAGAUUAGACCAACAUGUCUGAGUAGUUCCAAAUCAUUCUAUCUUAUAGCAUCAUUCAUAAACUGAAAACAAAAACCAAAAUAUCACCAUAUUAAUUCCAAAGUUGUACCGUUUAUACUUGUUCUAGUUGUACUAGUUUUAUUAGUUUGAGUUGUAUUAGUUGUACUAGUGAUACUAGUAAUACUAUGCGUUCUUCUUUACCAUGAACUCGAACAUAAAACACUAAAUUCGAUUUCGAAUAACAUAGAAUUGAUUAAAUAUGACUAUGGGUUGAUCGUUUUGAGAUAAAGAAAAGAAAAUCAGUGAAUAUUUAAAUACAAAUUUUGAUUUUGUUUUUAAUUGAGGAAGUUAAAGAAACAUAAAUAGAGGAAGAGGAAGAAGAAGAAGAAGGAGAAGAAUUUGGGUUAAAACCGGGUCGGAUUAUUGGGUCAGAUUACUGGUUGGAUAGUAAUGACAUAGAUAGUAAAUAAGUUGAUGUCUUUUGAUUUUUUAGUUAUUUACCUUUAUUUUGUAUUUAAAUUUUAAUAUAAAAUAAAAAAAAAAAAAAGUGAGGGUCAAAUCAGAUUUUUUUUGAUCCAUGUGGUCCAUACGAGAAUUUUGAUCCACCGAAAUCUCAUAAGUACCUAUUGGAUAUAAAAAUGAUUUAUACGAUAUACCCGGAACCGAAUGGUUCCUAUCCGAAACCGAACUGAAUAUCCGAAUGCCCAGGGCUACCUGGUCCACUACAGGGACUGUGUCAUCUCCUUGAUACAUUAAUUACUAUUCUCGUUCGCGGCGCAUAAACCCUAAACCCUUUGAUCUUUUUCAGUCAGUUUUCAUUUUUCAACUUCACUUUAACCUCUCCACUUGCUGCUGAAUUAGUGUGAAUAAUGGGGAAAAGUCGGCGUAAAUAUAAGAUAAUACCUCCGCUGCUCCCGGAGCAAGCUAGAUGAAACAUAAACCUCAAGUUUUCAAAAUUUUUGAAAAAAAUAUAUAAAUAGAUCUCUAAAAUUGUUUUUAAUUGUUUAGUCCCCAAAAUCUCAAGGCAUGCCACUGCUGCAGCUUCACCCGGACGUACCUGAAGAGGAUAUUGAGUUCUCCGACUACGAUUUGAAGUUCGUCGAAGAGAACACUGAUUACGCCCCUAUUCGUCACUCGUAUUGACACCACUGCUAUUAACAGGCAAUGCGUUGGUGAACAAACGACAGUGGAGGACAGGUAUGAGGAAGAGAAAGGGAGUAGUAACGAGAUCCAAGUGGAUCCUGUUGAUGUGCUCCCUGUCAAGACUUAAGAUGGCAAACUCCACCAGCGAACUCUGACAAAGACGUCAAAACUAGCUAAGGGGGAUACUGAUGAAGCAGAAGAGGAUGUUAUUGAAGAUGAAAAUAUAUUGAACAAAUCUCAGAGGAGAGCAAAAGCUAAAAAGAGGCGAAAAAACAAGAGAAGGAAUUGCCUAAAGAGGAGGAAACACCUCAAGCAGCAGUUUUGGCAGAAUUGAACGGAGAAUUAUCUGCUGAAGAGACGUUUGAAAAUAAGAAAAACAAACUCGAGGAGUUGGGAAUGCAACUACUUUCUGAUCCUGAGGCAAACAUAAGAACCAUAAAGGAAUUUGUUCAAAAAAAAAAAAAAAAAAGAACCAUAAAGGAAAUGUUAGACAUCUCCAAAGAUGGGAAUAGAAAGAUAGUGAAACUUGGCUUGUUAUCUGUGUUGGCCGUAUUUAAAGAUAUUAUUCCUGGGUAAUUUUAUCAGACCUUUCCCCCAUUUUAUCUGCCAGCUAUUAGAAUAGACUUCCUACAGAAAAGGAGCUCGAGAUGAAGGUCUCAAAGGCAGUAAAGAAAACCCGGUUCUAUGAGUCAACUUUAUUAAAAGCCUACAAGGUAUGCAUGUCAAGUAUACUUGAUUCUUGAUUCUUGACUCUUGAUUCCUCUGAAUAUAUUUGUAACACAUAUGCUUUUUUGCUGCUGUUUGUCCUUGACAGUCAUAUCUGCAAAAGUUUAGUUGCAUUUGAAAAGCAGUCAGUCAGUAUAUAACCAGGUUGCCUCUCGGUGCAUUUGUACGUUGCUGGAUGCGAAACCACGGUAGUUGAAGCUCUGAUGUCACGUCUCCUUUUUUGUAUCUGUCUUUAGGUGUUCAUGUCCAUACGCUUUGACGAGGAUAUUGGAAAGCGUGACAGAGAUGAUGCCAAUAAGAAUAAAUUUAAGAAAAAUAAAAAAAGAAAUAUCCUAGUGGAGCAAAAUAAUGAGCAGGAAAACAAUGUCUAAGACCAGAGACGGGGUAUUUUACUUUCCUUUUCUGUAAUAGAUUAGAUGGUGCGAAAUUUGACGUUUUGACAUUGUUUUCCCUCGUUUUGGCAACUCUAUCUCUAUGACCAUAACAUCUAAAAUGGGUUCUGGUUCUUACUGUUCCUUUCAUCUAAACUUGAUGACAUUGUUCAGGUUCCUGCUGAUUACAAGGAAGUUACGUAUGAACCAGAUGUUAAUUUUUUUGGUUUUGUUUUUGUGGUAAUUUAUAAAUUAUAAUUGUUGCUUUAUUUAUUUUAUCUUUGUGGCUAACCAUAUUUUUUGACAUUAAGCUGAGUAAUUAAAACCUCCUAUCACCAAUAAUUUUACUUGGUUUGUAUUUGUUUUAGUAAUUAGUUAACGCUAUUAAUAACAUAUCUAAAAAUAAAAGUAAAACAUACUUCACAUUAUUUUUUAUUAUAAAAACUUCAUGUUGAUAAUCUUAUUACUCCAACAAAAAAAAAAAAAACAUAAAAAUGAAUAAUUACAUAGUUUUUCUGUUAGUUAUUGCUAUGUGUUCUUGGUCAAGUGAAGCUUGGAUAAAAGAAAAUUGCCCUAUAAAUCGUAUAAUGAUUACUAACCAACUCGGUGGUGGUCAAGUAUUGGGAUACAAGUGCAGUAAUUGGCUAAGUCAAAAUUGGCGAGGCGGUUUAAGCACUUUAAAUCAAAACAGAACUUGGGAAUUCGCCGAUGUUACUAAUAGAAGAGAAAGAACAAGAUGUAAUCAAAUACGUCAAUGGGCAGCUAGACCUGAUGGGAUUUGGUUCAGAAGAGAUCAUGACAAACCGUUAGGCCUUGUCCGCCCCUGGAAGAAAAGAUAGAUAUAACUUCUUCUUUUCCAUUUCCUAAUAUUGAAAUAAUCAGUAAAGAUCUAAUAAUAAUGUGCUAUAUUGUAUAUAGAAAAAAAUAUAAUAAUAGUGUAUAAGUUUAAGUAAUACUUAUACAUGUCGUUGUUUCAAGUUUGUAAACAACAACACAAUAUACGUAUUUUAUAAUAAUUCUUGUUUUGUAACAGAAAUGUCUACAUCUUUAUGCUUUUCUUUUUAGUAUGCAAAAGAAAUCAUGUUUAGAAUA